rnacentral:lncRNA from 1 species
GGAAAUAAAAUUAGAAGUCAUUUGUCACUUAUAGGAGAGAGAAAAAUUUGGAGAGGGGGAAUUUUGGAGAGAAAAAUAUUUUUAGUACUAGGAGGAAAAAUCUAUUUCUUUUCUUCACUGUUAAAAAGCAACAUCAAUUCCUAUUAUUCAUUGAAGCUUCAAGCUUCUUUUCUUGAGUAUUAAAAAUCAGAAUGGACUAUUUUGGCAACUGGUUAUUUCUCUGUUGGCAUGUACUUAUUUUUUAAUACUACUGGCAUUCAAGUAGUAUAGCUUGGGUUUACUGUUGGUUUUCGGUUGGUUUGGAAUUUCUGGUUUUUCUUCUUGGUUGUAAUCUCUUGGGUUUUGCUAAUAUUCCCGUUGUUACAGGGUUACUCCUGUGUUGCUGAACUGCUGUUGCUGUGUGUGCUGCUAUUGCUUCCUACUGAUCUUGAUCUUCUUUGUAUUCCAAUACUAGGUACACCACUUUGAAUCACUUUGAUGUACGCCUUGAAGAUGAAAUGAAAUGGCAG